rnacentral:ncRNA from 1 species
UUCACGGAGAGUUUGAUCCUGGCUCAGGACGAACGCUGGCGGCGUGCUUAACACAUGCAAGUCGAACGAUGAAGCCUUUCGGGGUGGAUUAGUGGCGAACGGGUGAGUAACACGUGGGCAAUCUGCCCUUCACUCUGGGACAAGCCCUGGAAACGGGGUCUAAUACCGGAUAACACUCUGUCCCGCAUGGGACGGGGUUAAAAGCUCCGGCGGUGAAGGAUGAGCCCGCGGCCUAUCAGCUUGUUGGUGGGGUAAUGGCCUACCAAGGCGACGACGGGUAGCCGGCCUGAGAGGGCGACCGGCCACACUGGGACU